UUUUUUUAAAACUAAUUUUUGUAUAAAAUUACAAGAAUACUCUUUGAUUUAGGGUUUUUAAAAAUUUAAAUUUUUUUUCUCAAAUACAAUUUACAAUAAUAAAUAUUCUCUUAUUUUUUUUAAUUAAAAAAAAAAGUUUCACUCUCCAACCUAAAUUAACAUAUUAAUGCUAUUUAGGCAGAUGUGAUCCACAGGCCCCAUGCCUGCAACGACUCCUGUUUUUCAAUACAUAAAUCACAUGCAUACACUAACAUAAUUAUACCCUGAGAAUUUAAACCAAACGUGAUAAAAUAAAAACCAUAAAUAUACAUUGCAUUUGUUCACCAACCACCACCGAAAACCACAGUCAAACUAAAUCCAGUCCCAUCAGAAAUAUACACUCUCUGUGACAAUAUGUACAUAACUGACUCAAACUAAACCAGCCUAUGCAAGGCGAGAACUAUCCCAAGUCCUGCCUCGACAACCAACCACCUACCAGGAAAAUCUCCACGUCUAGAUCGUGACCACAGUGAACCAGAACAGCUAGUCGUAUCCCCUCAACCCUGUCAAAGAGUCUAUGUGGGUUGUGAGCUAAAUAUAACAUGCUCACAAUAGAUAAUCGCAUUCAAUAAGCAUGAUAGGAUGAAGCAUCCACCAAAAUAUCCCGAAAUCAAAUGCAUAAUGCAUCAAUGCAUCACCCACAUGUGCGCGCAUGUUUAGAUCAUCGUUGGGCCGCAAAUAUCGACGUGCCUCGUUAUCAGGAAUGCCCCUACUGGUCCAUCCCUAGGCAAAGUACCUCAUGACUAGCCUUCCUCCCGUGCAAUGCAAACACACAGAUAAAAUGAUAUUCAUUGUCGACCUCAACCUCAUAGAUAUAAUUAUCAUCACCAAUCGUAUAAAUACACGCAAUCAAUAUAAUAGACUAUCAUUACUUUAUUUUCCACCUGUCACCCGCCGCAUUAAUUCACGACCUACGUUUGCUUUCGAAGUCCCCUCUCAUUCCUUAGCUCCUUUUAUCACCGUUAUCGUACACAAGUAACGAUGGUAUAUACUUCAAAUCUAUAAUAUAUAAUUCGAUCCGAUAGAUCUACUAAAUGGUAUAAUUACAUUCCCGUAAAAUUUUAAGGCGUUGGACAAGUUUUCACACCGUCGAAUUGUCGCCAUAUUACUCUUAAAAUCUCUACCGAUCAUACUUGCUGUCCUACCUACAUCAUUGUAACAGUCGAUGAAUUAAACAGACCCUACCAAUUGGAUUCAAACACUGAAAAACAAUAUAAAUGAAUCGAUAUUCUACGACCCAAACUCAUCCGAUUGACUCAAUUUUACAAACUAGGUACCCGAAUAGGGUCUCAUCGGCGCGCCCACACUGGUAAUUUUCCAGUUCCUGACAGCCAUUAAAUUGUUCAGAAUACUUUGACCUGCUCUGUUUUCCUAUUUCCAUCUACAUACGUGUUGUGUAUGCGCGUGUAUAUAUAUAUAUAACCUUAGUUUUUUUUUUUUUUUUUUUAAAACAAUAAUAAGAAAUUUUCAAAACCCCAAAGCCUCUCAGGAAUGGCGUAAGAUUAAGAGUACAUCUAAAUACAUUCUACCACCUAGAGAAAAAAAAAAAAAACAUACUUCUUUGAGAGUCAUUCAACAACAAUGCUCCACAGUAUUUAAUAAUGCUAACAAAUUCGAAACACAAAGCGCAAAUAUUGAAAUUGAAACUAAAAAAUUUCAUAAGUCACAAUAACUAAUAUAACAUCUACCCAAGAAAUUUACACUUCUUGUUCCAGAUUAUAAGUCUAAUUCCCUCUCACGCAGAUCUCCUCCUCUUUUUUCUCUGGUUUUUCCUUCCUUCUCUCUCUUUCUUUCUCUCGUCUUCUCUCCUUUUCCCUUUCCUCUUCUUUUUUCUUUUUUUUUUUCUUUUACACCAUAUCGAUACAUGUCAAGACAACUUUUUAAUUAAUUCCAUACAACCUUUUUUUUCCUCUACAUUUUGAUGUCUUCUUUAUUAUCUCAGCAAGUCUUUAGUCUUUCGAUUUUACCCCCACAAGUUAAAUAUUCAUACUUUUUACGCCAUACCUUUAAUAUUAACAUGUUACUCCCAGCACAUACACUCCAUAUAUAUAACCACGUGCUUUCACGUCAUAACUACAUAAUUAACCGAAUUACUAUAUAAUUAUGCAUGAAUGCAUAAAAUUAUAAAAUUAGAAUUUAGGGUCUCACAAAAGCAGAAGAUUGAUAACAAGUUUAAUUUUUAAGCAUGUUUUCAACCUAGGAUACUUAAAAGAUAAAUAUUUAGAUUAAUUUUUUUAAGAUAUGGAGUCUAGAAAGAUGGCAAUGGUGGGAUGUGGGGGUAGAUGCACAUUGAGAGAGAGAGAGAGGGGGGGGGGGGGGGGGGGAAGGGGUAAAAUUGGGUUUUAACAAAUUUUUAUUGCUGGCAUCAUUCAAAUAGUGAAAAAUUAUAAUAUAAUUUUAAAUUUCAUGGGAGGUUAGUAUAAUUUCUAGAAGGUGAGGGGGGAAUUUGUAUUAAAUAUAA
rnacentral:lncRNA from 1 species